rnacentral:rRNA from 1 species
CGGCGUGCCUAAUACAUGCAAGUCGAACGGUCUUUUCUAUGGAAGCUUGCUUCCACUGAGAAGAUAGUGGCGAACGGGUGAGUAACACGUGGGUAACCUGCCCAUAAGAGGGGGACAACAUCCGGAAACGGGUGCUAAUACCGCAUAGUUUUCUUGAUCGCAUGAUCGGGAAAGGAAAGACGGCCUUUGUGCUGUCGCUUAUGGAUGGACCCGCGGCGUAUUAGUUAGUUGGUGAGGUAACGGCUCACCAAGACGAUGAUACGUAGCCGACCUGAGAGGGUGAUCGGCCACAUUGGGACUGAGACACGGCCCAAACUCCUACGGGAGGCAGCAGUAGGGAAUCUUCCGCAAUGGACGAAAGUCUGACGGAGCAACGCCGCGUGAGUGAAGAAAGGUUUUCGGAUCGUAAAACUCUGUUGUCAGAGAAGAACAAGUUGGAGAGUAACUGCUCCAGCCUUGACGGUAUCUGACCAGAAAGCCACGGCUAACUACGUGCCAGCAGCCGC